UGGUAACCCGAUUUUCUACGCGCACGCGCACGCAUUAGGAACGUAAGCAAUUUGUGAUCUCGUAGCACGCGCUCUCUCACCAAGUCGACUAACACAAACACACAGUAGCAGGAUUUCUGGCCUUCAGUUAGAGCAAGGACACACACACACACACACACACACACACACACAUGACAGUGAACGGUGUCAGCUGGACAGUGAGGUCAUAAAGCUGUGUGUAGUAUGAAUAGCGCGCAAGGCUUAUCGGUGUGCUUAGGAUGAACAGGUUUUAUGAAGCCUCUGAAGACACGAGCUCGAAUCAGUUGUCUUCGUCAGGCAAAAAAUUUAAUCCCGGAUAUUUCCGUUGUGAGCGUAAAGCACUAACCAUUAUACGCACAUAUGUUUAUGAAAUACUGGACGAAAAACAAAACAAAACAUUGUCUUCACUCGAUCGUGCAUUUAGGAAGGAAAAUGUUUUGAGUUACCUGUACAUAUUCGUUUCCAUGACAGAGUGAAGAACGAGAUGUUAUGGAAAAGAAUGGAAAUGUCAACAAACUUCAAGAUGUCAAUAAGAAGCUUUAUAGGAGCCAAUGAGAAGACUAAAGACAUCAACAUGGCCAACAGGCGCACACGAAGUAACGAGACUUAGAUAACCAGCCACUUGUAGGAAAGUCGUGAGAAAGCGUCGAUAUUUCUUCAAGGUGGAUUACGGAAAAUUAUUAAGAUGGCAUUAUACAGGAAAAACGAGUGGCAUUAAAAGAGAGUGUUAUCUAUGUAUGUGGUAAUUCGCUGUAUCAUUUCUUAAUGUGCGUUUCUCUAUAGCACUUGUGGACAACCUCACUCAGUGAAGGACCCCACUGGAAAUAAGUGACAAUAAUUUUGGGCUGUCUUUGUGAAAGUUAGCUUUGUUUACAUUUUCCUUGUGAAAGUUAGCAUUAUUUACAUUAUCUCUGUGAGACUAUUUGCAUUAUAAGUUCUAUGUGUAUGAAACAAGCUGUGCUAACUCUUGCUAAAUAAAUUCAACCAAUCAAAGAGUCCAUCAGUCAAUCAGUCUUCCUCUACUGCAUCGCACGUACGUCGGGCUGAGAAUUAUCGAAUUGUAUAACCAUUAGUUUGUCUCGUGGCACAGCUGUGUCUUGGUCCUGUUGGGUUUCCCUUGGGUUUGGAAGGCUUCUGUGGCUGUCUUCCGAAACGUCACGGCCUUUGUAACAGUUCAAAAAAUGAGAGAAUGUUGCCCAUGAAGAAAACACGCAUGUGGUCUUGUACUUUCUCCCGUGCUGGACGUCUCACCCAGAACACACAUUGCUCGAGACUGACGCGAUAUGCACCCCUCACCAACAUGGAAGUCAAGGUACGGAGAGAGGGGUGAGUAAGCUUCUACAACAACAUGAUGGACACACAGCGAGAGAGGAAGAAUUACAAUGACAUUGUGAAAGCGACGGACACAAAUCUUCACAUUGCAAAGAUGAUGAAAAUGAAGACAGAUUAUGGAGUGCAUGAUUUCCUAACUGCUAUACAACACUCAAAAAGAAAAGAAAUUGAAAAAAAAAAAAAAAAAAAAAAAAAAAAAAAAAAGUAAAA